rnacentral:rRNA from 1 species
GUGCAGCAGUCGCGAAAACUUCACAAUGUGCGAAAGCACGAUGAGGGAAUCCCAAGUGCUUGCACGUAAGUGUAAGCUGUUUCUCUGUCUAAAACGCAGAGAGAGUAAGGGCUGGGUAAGACGGGUGCCAGCCGCCGCGGUAAUACCUGCAGCUCGAGUGGUGACCGUUAUUAUUGGGCCUAAAACGUCCGUAGCCGGUUUAAUAAAUGCCUGGGUAAAUCGGACCGCUUAACGGUUCGAAUUCCGGGUAGACUGUUAAACUUGAGACCGGGAGAAGUUAGAGGUACUCCUGGGGUAGAGGUGAAAUUCUGUAAUCCUAGGGGGACCACCAGUGGCGAAGGCGUCUAACUAGAACGGGUCUGACGGUGAGGGACGAAGCCCUGGGGCGCAAACGGGAUUAGAUACCCCUGUAGU